AAGCGUUGUUCGGAUUUACUGGGCGUAAAGGGCGCGUAGGCGGCCACCGCAAGUAAGUUGUGAAAGCUCUGGGCUUAACCCAGAAAGGUCAACUGAUACUGCGGGGCUAGAGUGCAGAAGGGGCAACUGGAAUUCUCGGUGUAGCGGUGAAAUGCGUAGAUAUCGAGAGGAACACCUGCGGCGAAGGCGGGUUGCUGGGCUGACACUGACGCUGAAGUGCGAAAGCUAGGGGAGCGAACGGG
rnacentral:rRNA from 1 species